UACGGAGGGUGCGAGCGUUGUUCGGAAUCACUGGGCGUAAAGCGCGUGUAGGCGGUCUCCUAAGUCUGGUGUGAAAGCCCGGGGCUUACCCCCGGAAGUGCACUGGAAACUGAGAGACUGGAGUACCGGAGAGGAAGGUGGAAUUCCUGGUGUAGUGGUGAAAUGCGUAGAUAUCAGGAGGAACACCGGUGGCGAAGGCGGCCUUCAGGACGGAUACUGACGCUGAGACGCGAAAGCGUGGGGAGCAAACAGG
rnacentral:rRNA from 1 species